rnacentral:rRNA from 1 species
AGUGAACGCUGGCGGUAGGCCUAACACAUGCAAGUCGAACGGCAGCACAGUAAGAGCUUGCUCUUACGGGUGGCGAGUGGCGGACGGGUGAGGAAUACAUCGGAAUCUACUUUUUCGUGGGGGAUAACGUAGGGAAACUUACGCUAAUACCGCAUACGACCUACGGGUGAAAGCAGGGGAUCUUCGGACCUUGCGCGAUUGAAUGAGCCGAUGUCGGAUUAGCUAGUUGGCGGGGUAAAGGCCCACCAAGGCGACGAUCCGUAGCUGGUCUGAGAGGAUGAUCAGCCACACUGGGACUGAGGCACCGUCCAGAAUCCUAAGGGAAGCAGCAGUGGGGAAUAUUGGACAAUGGGCGCAAGCCUGAUCCAGCCAUACCGCGUGGGUGAAGAAGGCCUUCGGGUUGUAAAGCCCUUUUGUUGGGAAAGAAAAGCAGCAGGUUAAUACCCCGCUGUUCUGACGGUACCCAAAGAAUAAGCACCGGCUAACUUCGUG